GCCAGUGCCUUGAUGUUCUCCCACCCAAAGGGGAUUAAUUGCUGGGAUGGAAUGAAGAGCACAGCACAGAGAGCAGACAUGGUCCAGACCUCGCAGGACUAAUUAUGCUCUUAAAGGGUCUGGAUUUCUGAUCUUGGUUAGCCACAGAAGCUGCUCUGGAAAAGCCUUUAAGAGAGGAAACAGCCUAGCUGGAUAAAUGGGAAAUGAAGCUAAGGGAAGGGAGGUGGCAUUUUGCCCGUCGUGCUGCAAACCAAGUGGGCAGCUCAGAAGCUCAAGGACAACCUUGGGUCCCUGCUCCGUGGAUGUCUGACUCCUCCAGGCCAUAACUGAGACACAUUUUCAUCCUUGCUCCUCUUCACCCUCC